AGACGAGCAUCACAAACGUUAUUCGGAAUUACUGGGCUUAAAGGGUGCGUAGGCGGUGUAGCAAGUCGGGAGUGAAAUCCCACAGCUCAACUGUGGAAUUGCUUUCGAUACUGCUGUGCUUGAGUGAGACAGAGGUAAGCGGAACUUAGGGUGGAGCGGUGAAAUGCGUUGAUAUCCUAAGGAACACCGGUGGCGAAGGCGGCUUACUGGGUCUCUACUGACGCUGAUGCACGAAAGCCAGGGUAGCGAACGGGA
rnacentral:rRNA from 1 species